CGCACGGGUGAGUAACGCGUAGAUUAUCUGCCCCUAUCACAGACAUAACAUAUGGAAACGUAUGCUAAUAUCUGAUGAGGUCUCCGGAUCAAAGAGCUUCGGCUUGGAUAGGGAUGAGUCUGCGUCUGAUUAGCUAGUUGGUGGGGUAAUGGCCUACCAAGGCGACGAUCAGUAGCGGGUCUGAGAGGAUGAUCCGCCACACUGGAACUGAGACACGGUCCAGACUCC
rnacentral:rRNA from 1 species